GAUGAACGCUGGCGGCGUGCCUAAUACAUGCAAGUCGAGCGAACGGACGAGAAGCUUGCUUCUCUGAUGUUAGCGGCGGACGGGUGAGUAACACGUGGAUAACCUACCUAUAAGACUGGGAUAACUUCGGGAAACCGUAGCUAAUACCGGAUAAUAUUUUGAACCGCAUGGUUCAAAAGUGAAAGACGGUCUUGCUGUCACUUAUAGAUGGAUCCGCGCUGCAUUAGCUAGUUGGUAAGGUAAAGGCUUACCAAGGCAACGAUGCAUAGCCGACCUGAGAGGGUCAUCGGCCACACUGGAACUGAGACACGGUCCAGACUCCUACGGGAGGCAGCAGUGGGGAAUCUUCCGCAAUGGGCGAAAGCCUGACGCAGCAACGACGCGUGAGUGAUGAAGGUCUUCGGAUCGUAAAACUCUGUUAUUCGGGAAGAACAUAUGUGUCAGUAACUGUGCACAUCUUGACGGUACCUAAUCAGAAAGCCACGGCUAACUACGUG
rnacentral:rRNA from 1 species